UAGGGAAUCUUCCGCAAUGGACGAAAGUCUGACGGAGCAACGCCGCGUGAGUGAUGAAGGCUUUCGGGUCGUAAAACUCUGUUAUUAGGGAAGAGCAAGUACGAGAGUAACUGCUCGUACCUUGACGGUACCUAACCAGAAAGCCACGGCUAACUACGUGCCAGCAGCCGCGGUAAUACGUAGGUGGCAAGCGUUAUCCGGAAUUAUUGGGCGUAAAGCGCGCGCAGGCGGUCUCUUAAGUCUGAUGUGAAAGCCCACGGCUCAACCGUGGAGGGUCAUUGGAAACUGGGGAACUUGAGUGCAGAAGAGAAAAGCGGAAUUCCACGUGUAGCGGUGAAAUGCGUAGAGAUGUGGAGGAACACCAGUGGCGAAGGCGGCUUUUUGGUCUGUAACUGACGCUGAGGCGCGAAAGCGUGGGGAGCAAACAG
rnacentral:rRNA from 1 species